rnacentral:rRNA from 1 species
UUGACAUCCUUUGAAAACUCUAGAGAUAGAGCCUUCCCCUUCGGGGGACAAAGUGACAGGUGGUGCAUGGUUGUCGUCAGCUCGUGUCGUGAGAUGUUGGGUUAAGUCCCGCAACGAGCGCAACCCUUAAGCUUAGUUGCCAUCAUUAAGUUGGGCACUCUAGGUUGACUGCCGGUGACAAACCGGAGGAAGGUGGGGAUGACGUCAAAUCAUCAUGCCCCUUAUGAUUUGGGCUACACACGUGCUACAAUGGACAAUACAAAGGGCAGCUAAACCGCGAGGUCAUGCAAAUCCCAUAAAGUUGUUCUCAGUUCGGAUUGUAGUCUGCAACUCGACUACAUGAAGCUGGAAUCGCUAGUAAUCGUAGAUCAGCAUGCUACGGUGAAUACGUUCCCGGGUCUUGUACACACCGCCCGUCACACCACGAGAGUUUGUAACACCCGAAGCCGG